AUUCGAUUGGGAAUUUUCCGCAAUGGGCGAAAGCCUGACGGAGCAACGCCGCGUGAGGGAGGAAGGUCUUUGGAUUGUAAACCUCUUUUCUCAAGGAAGAAGUUCUGACGGUACUUGAGGAAUCAGCCUCGGCUAACUCCGUGCCAGCAGCCGCGGUAAUACGGGGGAGGCAAGCGUUAUCCGGAAUUAUUGGGCGUAAAGCGUCCGCAGGUGGUCAGCCAAGUCUGCUGUCAAAUCAGGUUGCUUAACGACCUAAAGGCGGUGGAAACUGGCAGACUAGAGAGCAGUAGGGGUAGCAGGAAUCCCCAGUGUAGCGGUGAAAUGCGUAGAGAUUGGGAAGAACAUCGGUGGCGAAAGCGUGCUACUGGGCUGUAUCUGACACUCAGGGACGAAAGCUAGGGGAGCGAAAGGGAUUAGAUACCCCUGUAGUCA
rnacentral:rRNA from 1 species